rnacentral:rRNA from 1 species
UACGAAGGGGGCUAGCGUUGUUCGGAAUUACUGGGCGUAAAGCGCGCGCAGGCGGCUAUCCAAGUCAGUGGUGAAAGCCCGGAGCUCAACUCCGGAACUGCCAUUGAAACUGUUUAGCUUGAGGACGAGAGAGGUGAGUGGAAUUCCCAGUGUAGAGGUGAAAUUCGUAGAUUUUGGGAAGAACGCGGGUGGCGGAGGCGGCUCACUUGCUCGUAUCUGACGCUCAGGCGCGAUAGCGUGGGGAUCAAACAGG